AACGCAUAUUGCGCCUUUUGGUAUUCCGGAAGGCAUGCUUGUUUGAGUAUCAGAAAUCUCCUCAGCUCCUACAAAAGCUGGACUUGAGCAAAUUCCCUUAAUCAACUUAUGAUGCGGGGAUGCUUGAAAUGCAUAGUUUCAAACCACCAAAUGACGGUUGUGCUACAAAGCAAUUUCAUACUUAAUCCCGUCAAACGGAUUAUAUCCUAUUGCCUUGGUGUGCUUAAUCGACGAAACGUUGGCUUUGAUGGAUGCAGAUAGGUUGUUCUUUGAACAACUUUUUAGAACUCGAUCUCAAAUCAAGUAAGACUACCCGCUGAACUUAA
rnacentral:misc_RNA from 1 species